UCAAAGCCUCCCGCCUCAGCAAGAAUCCGGCAAGCUAUUUGAUCACUUGGAGCCAGAUUCUUGAGGGGUUUGGCUUUGAGGGCCUUUUCCUCUCUCACCCAGUAUAGUGGAAACCCAUCGAGGGCGUCGGGAACAAGAUCGGUACAGCAGAUCUUGAAGAACCGGCCUUUCCACCCCGUGAACGAGCUUUGGAAGGGCGUGAAGAGAACUCUUCCGGGCACAUUGCUGAGAGUUACCCAGAGGUUGUGUCUCUGUCUCUUCACCUCAAAAAAG
rnacentral:lncRNA from 1 species